rnacentral:rRNA from 1 species
AGAGUUUGAUCCUGGCUCAGGAUGAACGCUGGCGGCGUGCUUAACACAUGCAAGUCGAACGGUGAAGCCAAGCUUGCUUGGUGGAUCAGUGGCGAACGGGUGAGUAACACGUGAGCAACCUGCCCUGGACUCUGGGAUAAGCGCUGGAAACGGCGUCUAAUACUGGAUAUGAGCUCCUUCCGCAUGGUGGGGGUUGGAAAGAUUUUUCGGUCUGGGAUGGGCUCGCGGCCUAUCAGCUUGUUGGUGAGGUAAUGGCUCACCAAGGCGUCGACGGGUAGCCGGCCUGAGAGGGUGACCGGCCACACUGGGACUGAGACACGGCCCAGACUCCUACGGGAGGCAGCAGUGGGGAAUAUUGCACAAUGGGCGGAAGCCUGAUGCAGCAACGCCGCGUGAGGGAUGACGGCCUUCGGGUUGUAAACCUCUUUUAGCAGGGAAGAAGCGAGAGUGACGGUACCUGCAGAAAAAGCGCCGGCUAACUACGUGCCAGCAGCCGCGGUAAUACGUAGGGCGCAAGCGUUAUCCGGAAUUAUUGGGCGUAAAGAGCUCGUAGGCGGUUUGUCGCGUCUGCUGUGAAAUCCCGAGGCUCAACCUCGGGCCUGCAGUGGGUACGGGCAGACUAGAGUGCGGUAGGGGAGAUUGGAAUUCCUGGUGUAGCGGUGGAAUGCGCAGAUAUCAGGAGGAACACCGAUGGCGAAGGCAGAUCUCUGGGCCGUAACUGACGCUGAGGAGCGAAAGGGUGGGGAGCAAACAGGCUUAGAUACCCUGGUAGUCCACCCCGUAAACGUUGGGAACUAGUUGUGGGGACCAUUCCACGGUUUCCGUGACGCAGCUAACGCAUUAAGUUCCCCGCCUGGGGAGUACGGCCGCAAGGCUAAAACUCAAAGGAAUUGACGGGGACCCGCACAAGCGGCGGAGCAUGCGGAUUAAUUCGAUGCAACGCGAAGAACCUUACCAAGGCUUGACAUACACCAGAACACCGUAGAAAUACGGGACUCUUUGGACACUGGUGAACAGGUGGUGCAUGGUUGUCGUCAGCUCGUGUCGUGAGAUGUUGGGUUAAGUCCCGCAACGAGCGCAACCCUCGUUCUAUGUUGCCAGCACGUAAUGGUGGGAACUCAUGGGAUACUGCCGGGGUCAACUCGGAGGAAGGUGGGGAUGACGUCAAAUCAUCAUGCCCCUUAUGUCUUGGGCUUCACGCAUGCUACAAUGGCCGGUACAAAGGGCUGCAAUACCGUGAGGUGGAGCGAAUCCCAAAAAGCCGGUCCCAGUUCGGAUUGAGGUCUGCAACUCGACCUCAUGAAGUCGGAGUCGCUAGUAAUCGCAGAUCAGCAACGCUGCGGUGAAUACGUUCCCGGGUCUUGUACACACCGCCCGUCAAGUCAUGAAAGUCGGUAACACCUGAAGCCGGUGGCCCAACCCUUGUGGAGGGAGCCGUCGAAGGUGGGAUCGGUAAUUAGGACUAAGUCGUAACAAGGUAGCCGUACCGGAAGGUGCGGCUGGAUCACCUCCUUU